rnacentral:rRNA from 1 species
GACGUAGGGUGCAAGCGUUGUCCGGAUUUACUGGGCGUAAAGCGCGCGUAGGCGGCUCGUUAAGUGUGGAGUGAAAUGCCGGGGCUCAACCCCGGAACUGCUUUACAUACUGGCGAGCUUGAGGGAUGCAGAGGUUUGUGGAAUUCCUGGUGUAACGGUGAAAUGUGUUGAUAUCAGGAGGAACACCGGUGGCGAAGGCGGGUCUCUGGGCCGGUACCGACGCUGAGGAGCGAAAGCGUGGGGAGCGAACAGG